rnacentral:rRNA from 1 species
UACGGAGGGUGCAAACGUUGCUCGGAAUCAUUGGGCGUAAAGCGCACGUAGGCGGCCUAUCAAGUCGGGUGUGAAAGCCCUGGGCUCAACCCAGGAAGUGCAUUCGAAACUGCUAGGCUUGAAUAUGGAAGAGGGUCGCGGAAUUCCCGGUGUAGAGGUGAAAUUCGUAGAGAUGUGGAGGAACACCAGUGGCGAAGGCGGCACCCUGGGUCUGACCUGACGCUGAGACGCGACAGCAUGGGGAGCGAACGGG